rnacentral:rRNA from 1 species
GACUUGUGUGCGCCUGCAUUCUGCGGUCACUUCCCAAAAGGGUUGUCCGACAUGCGGUGCAGGCGCCGUCAAACCUUCAACUGGAUCGCGUCUGGGCUUCAUUGUCUGGGCGCUGUCAUUCGGUUGAUCAUUUACUGUGAGAAAAUUAGAGUGUUCAAGGCAGGCAUAAUUGCAAUUGAAUAUGUUAGCAUGGAAUAAUAAGAUAAGGCUUCUGCUUUAUUUUUUUGGUUUCUAGAGUGGAAGUAAUGAUUGAUAGGGAUAGUUGGGGGUGCUAGUAUUCAGCGGCCAGAGGUGAAAUUCAUGGAUUCGCUGAAGACUAACUUAUGCGAAAGCAUU